rnacentral:rRNA from 1 species
AGUGAACGCUGGCGGUAGGCCUAACACAUGCAAGUCGAACGGCAGCACAGUAAGAGCUUGCUCUUACGGGUGGCGAGUGGCGGACGGGUGAGGAAUACAUCGGAAUCUACUUUUUCGUGGGGGAUAACGUAGGGAAACUUACGCUAAUACCGCAUACGACCUACGGGUGAAAGCAGGGGAUCUUCGGACCUUGCGCGAUUGAAUGAGCCGAUGUCGGAUUAGCUAGUUGGCGGGGUAAAGGCCCACCAAGGCGACGAUCCGUAGCUGGUCUGAGAGGAUGAUCAGCCACACUAGAACUGAGACACGGUCCAGACUCCUACGGGAGGCAGCAGUGGGGAAUAUUGGACAAUGGGCGCAAGCCUGAUCCAGCCAUACCGCGUGGGUGAAGAAGGCCUUCGGGUUGUAAAGCCCUUUUGUUGGGAAAUAAAAGCAGCAGGUUAAGACCCCGCUGUUCUGACGGUACCCAAAGAAUAAGCACCGGCUAACUUCGUG